rnacentral:rRNA from 1 species
UAGGGAAUAUUGGACAAUGGGUGAGAGCCUGAUCCAGCCAUGCCGCGUGCAGGAAGAAGGCGUUAUGCGUUGUAAACUGCUUUUGCCAGGGGAUAAAAAGACCGUGCGCGGUUAAUUGAAGGUACCUGGUGAAUAAGCCACGGCUAACUACGUGCCAGCAGCCGCGGUAAUACGUAGGUGGCAAGCGUUGUCCGGAUUUAUUGGGUUUAAAGGGUGCGUAGGUGGCCCUGUAAGUCAGUGGUGAAAUAUCUCAGCUUAACUGAGAGGGUGCCAUUGAUACUGCAGGGCUUGAGUACAGAUGAGGUAGGCGGAAUUGACGGUGUAGCGGUGAAAUGCAUAGAUAUCGUCAAGAACACCGAUAGCGAAGGCAGCUUACCAAGCUGUAACUGACACUGAGGCACGAAAGUGUGGGGAUCAAACAGGAUUAGAUACCCGCGUAGUCCCUGAGCGGGCUGGCAAGGCGCAU